AUAACUACAUGCCGCAGGGUAUCUGAAUCAACCAACUCAGCUGAGGACAAGGAACAAAGCUCCACUGGGGAUCAAACACGCCGUCGAGGAACUGAAUCAACACAAACAUCUAGGGAUACCCGAAGGGUUAACUGCUUGGGGAACCUUCAAUGUUUCGCACUUAAGGACUUGCUAUCCAUCAAAAUGCUGUUGAUAUUUCUUUUUAA
rnacentral:lncRNA from 1 species